rnacentral:rRNA from 1 species
AGUGAACGCUGGCGGUAGGCCUAACACAUGCAAGUCGAACGGCAGCACAGUAAGAGCUUGCUCUUACGGGUGGCGAGUGGCGGACGGGUGAGGAAUACAUCGGACUCUACUUUUUCGUGGGGGAUAACGUAGGGAAACUUACGCUAAUACCGCAUACGACCUACGGGUGAAAGCAGGGGAACUUCGGACCUUGCGCGAUUGAAUGAGCCGAUGUCGGAUUAGCUAGUUGGCGGGGUAAAGGCCCACCAAGGCGACGAUCCGUAGCUGGUCUGAGAGGAUGAUCAGCCACACUGGAACUGAGACACGGUCCAGACUCCUACGGGAGGCAGCAGUGGGGAAUAUUGGACAAUGGGCGCAAGCCUGAUCCAGCCAUACCGCGUGGGUGAAGAAGGCCUUCGGGUUGUAAAGACGUUUUGUUGGGAAAGAAAAGCAGCAGGUUAAUACCCCGCUGUUCUGACGGUACCCAAAGAAUAAGCACCGGCUAACUUCGUG